AGCACGUGCAAUAGGAGUGACUCACACAAGCCAGGUGCGCCGGCCGUGUCGUUCCACUCGUAAACAACAGCUGCAACAGAGGUGACUCAUAAGCCAGCUGCGCCGGCUAGUAUAAAAAGGCGGAACGUGCCUUGAAAUGAACAUUCGUUGGACUGCGCUUGCCUGGUGCACUUACUAUAUCCUUGUUACGUUGUGUGAUUCAGUGACUGUUGUACGUACUGGUUAAAGUUGGACAAGUGUUAAAGUGAAUUGUUAAGAUAACAUAUUGUUGAUUAAAUCAAGAAUCAAAAAAGUGACAUCGUUUUACUUGGUGUUCAACAAGAUAAUAUCUACCCUCAAGCUUACAUCAGAAGUGAGAUCAGGACUCUACUCUCACUGGCGUGACGUGUUUGAACAUGUUCGAAGUACAGCAAAAAAAACAUGAUGCAGAUCAGAAUACUAGUAGUGGUACGCCACAAGAGCGUGAAUGCAGCAUACGUAAGUCGUGUAAUAACGUCUCUAUUACCUCGAUGGAAGAUCUGAGCCACGAAGAAAUCGUCACAUCUUACGUUCUGGCUCAUGUUUCCCAGUUUGACUGUCGACUUCAUCACAUGGCAUUUACUAACGGAAAUACAACACGUAACAAGCUAUUGCAAGAAAUUAAGGCAAGUGCAAAUCUUAAGUGAAACUUCGAUCGCAAUAAUGGAUCUGUCAUGACGAGUGGGUAGUUCCGACACGAAUCGUUUUUAAGCCAAUGACUACUGCUAGAGUUACAUGGCACUAGUACAGUAAACCAGGACAUGAGACUGUGAAUUGUCGCUGAAAUUUUAGAAUCUACUCGAUUCAAUACCAAUAACACUACACGUUCGAUGACUUCGGGCUCCAGCAAGCAAGCAAACAAGAAAGCAAGCAAGUUUCCGUGGGGAAGAAAAAUUGACACAUCUGAAGUCGUCGUGACCUGUAAGAUAAGACGUCCGGUGCGUUCGUGUCUGGCGAUGCGGCGGUGUUCGGGUUCCGCUGGCGGAUGCAGGUUUUUCCGGUGAAGUGCGUGCUUGUGCGUGCUUGACAAGUGUUCGCGGUUGGCUUCCUCAGUGUGGGAGUAACAUCGUGUAAGAGAGGUGGAACCCGUAAAAUUGUAGUUUGCGUGGUGGCUGGUAAGAUUUGUUGCGGUAAGAAGUUUGCAUGGUGGUAAAAUGUCUUGUGAGUCUGCACAGGUAGCCGGAGGUGAGACUUCCGCGGUCGCGGCCCACCCAGUCCGCGAGAACCGGGCAGAUCGCCUCGACGGUACGGAGGCCGGCCGACGGGUCCGCCAAACUACGAGACCACGCCUCCAGCACGGACUGCCGAUAUUAGAGCCCCCGCGCUCCGGCUGCACUUGCGCUAGGGCGCGCCGCCUCGUAGGAGACUGUGAGGUAUCAUUGAAUAACUCUGACUGCGAUCGCGCGCUGCCGGCGUCGCAGCGCGGCGACGUUCUCGUGGGUAAGGACGUGGCACCAGACGGGUGCUCCGUAUAGUGCCAUCGACCGCACGGGUACCAUCACCCUGCGUAUUUCUGCCGUGAAGCAGUGGUGUAUUUCGGUUUGAAGGGUGGGGCAGCGGUUGUAACUAUACUGAGACCUUAGAACUUCUAUCUCAAGGUGUGUGGUGCGUUUACGCUGUGGAUGUCUAUGGGUUCCAGUAACCACUUAACACAAGGUGGGCUGUGAGCUCGUCCACACAUUAAUACGAAGAGCAUAAUCAAACGAAAUUAGAUACGAAGUUUAAAGGGCCGUUUAAAGUAGUUGAAGUAUUGGAUGGUGUCGAUUUAAUUUUGACUCUCACACAUUCGCUUAAGGCUCGAGCUGCUACUUGCCUCACAAAAAUACAGCCUGCAAAACCUGAACAACCUCCUCAUCCGUGGGCGCCCGGCUCUCGCCUGCAAGUCAGCUGUUACGUGUGCGGUGAUGCGAGUCAUGUAGCUUCUGGGUGUUCCAUGCGCUACAAGAAGAAAAACUACACUGCUCCAGGUGCUGUGGCAGGUCCAACCAGAGACGUCAACGUGUGUUCCAGAGCUUCAGUGUGUUACAGAUAAGUGGUUUUGGCUCCCCCUUUAUGUUCCAUUCAGGGUCAGAAUGUAGUCUUAUAAAACAAAGCCAUAGUAAUUUAUUCAAUGGUAAGCGGUUUCAUGAACAAGUCACCGUAGUCACCCUAGACACGUCCUUACGGAUCCAUCAGAUCCAAUAACUCUUGCAUUAGAUACCUUCAGCUCUAACACUAGGAGCAGGCUGAGGAACCCCAGUAAUCGUACUCGUCGAACUCGACAAAGAGGUCGACGUGCAACCUAACCCAUGCAUCAGCCCACUGAGUUUCUCGCCGGAUCUUCUCAGUGGGUCGCGAUUCCGAUCCGGUAGUAGAUUCAUUCGCGAAGCAAUUGCUCUUGAGUUGUUAGGUCUGUGCGGAGUCGCUCGGGCAGUUGUUAGCAAAUCCCACCCCUCUUGGCUGAGCCUUUGCUCGCCCACCCGUCCUGGUGAAGCGGGAAAGGCCUCCGGGCCACCAGUAAUCUUUCAAUCAUCUGCAGUUUUGGAAAACGAUAGGUAUAAGUUGAGACAUGUAAAUGGUUCUAGUGUACAAAGUUCCCCAUGAAAACUUACGCGAAGUACCUCGAGGCCCGUCAGGCCUACUAGAAAUUUCUGAAAAUUAUAGUGACGAUGACGUGACGGCGUACACAGAUGGGUUAAGUAAUCUUAUUCAUGAAACUGAUCUUAAUGAUGACGACUCUAUCACUGACAAUAGAAGCGACAUUUUUGUUCGCAAAUAGCGAUA